GGCGAACGGGUGAGUAACACGUGAGUAACCUGCCCUUGACUUUGGGAUAACUUCAGGAAACUGGGGCUAAUACCGGAUAGGAGCUCCUGCUGCAUGGUGGGGGUUGGAAAGUUUCGGCGGUUGGGGAUGGACUCGCGGCUUAUCAGCUUGUUGGUGGGGUAGUGGCUUACCAAGGCUUUGACAGGUAGCCGGCCUGAGAGGGUGACCGGCCACAUUGGGACUGAGAUACGGCCCAG
rnacentral:rRNA from 1 species